CUACGGGCGGCAGCAGGCGAGAAAACUUUGCAAUGUGCGCAAGCACGACAAGGUUAAUCCGAGUGGUUUCUGCUAAAGGAACCUUUUGACAGUCCUAGAAACACUGUUGAAUAAGGGGUGGGCAAGUUCUGGUGUCAGCCGCCGCGGUAAAACCAGCACCUCAAGUGGUCAGGAUGAUUAUUGGGCCUAAAGCAUCCGUAGCCGGCUCUGUAAGUUUUCGGUUAAAUCUGUACGCUUAACGUACAGGCUGCCGGGAAUACUGCAGAGCUAGGGAGUGGGAGAGGUAGACGGUACUCGGUAGGAAGGGGUAAAAUCCUUUGAUCUAUUGAUGACCACCAGUGGCGAAGGCGGUCUACCAGAACACGUCCGACGGUGAGGGAUGAAAGCUGGGGGAGCAAACCGGAUUAGAUACCCCCGUAGUC
rnacentral:rRNA from 1 species